CGGUGAAUACGUUCCCGGACCUUGUACACACCGCCCGUCAAGCCAUGGGAGUUGGGAGGACCUGAAGACAGUAACCGCAAGGGGCUGUUUAGGGUUAAACCAGCGACUGGGGCU
rnacentral:rRNA from 1 species